UCUUUUUCCUAUCACGAUAUUACUUGGAGACUUGCCGAGUUCUGCCGAGAUAACAACGUUGGUGGUGGCGGCGUAUGGCUCUUCGAGGUGGCGUCCUCUGCCCCACGUAUGGGCUCCCAAAUCCGCUCCCUUCCAACCGGAGCCGUCGGAACGCCGGCAGGCGACUCGUUUCGAGCACCACCGCUGCCGCCGCGGGUCACCAGAUGCGCCCGCAAAACGUAGAAGGAGAGUUCUUCGUCGGUAAAUUCUACUCAGUUGCGCGGUUACUUUAGGGUCUGGACGUUGAUUGGGUUGGGUUAUCCGAUAGAAGCUGCUAGCUGUGAGGAGGAAAGGGUGAAGGCGCUCCAGGUGAAUUUAAUCGCGUAGAUUUCCUUUGGUUCCUUGCUUGGCCAAAACUUUCUUGGGCUAGGAAUUUGGUUUGCGGGACAAAGUCUGGACGAUUCCAUUUAUUUGGUAGCAGCAGUAUAAAUUCAUGAAGAACUUGACAAGAAAUCAGCUAAAUAAAACAGAUAUUUCACAUGGUUAUCUCAUUGUACUCAAAUAAGUUCAGCAACCACAUUAUCUACAUUUGUUUGGUAAUGAUCUCUAGGUUUCUGGUAAAGUAAGUUGGAUUAUGGCAUAGCUAAAACCAUUGUUUCCUUUAGGACCAUUUUGAUGAGAUUUUUUGCUUUUUUUGGUGCUUUUCAGACCUUCACAUUUGGUGAACUUACCUAGUUUGAAAACUUGUCUUGAUUUGGAUGUUAUUCGAAUUGUGUCUCAAAAGAAUCUCCUCUAAUCAAUAUUCCGAUUUAAACAAGUUGGUGGUCAAACAGUGUUGAAUACAUGUGGGAGUAAUUAUGCUCUUUUAUCAUAGUCUUCCUAAUAUUGUAGGGUAUUUCAUUCUUUGUCAUCAUUAGCUAAAAUUAGUCGAGCAAAUUUCUGCAGAUUGAUUUAGUAAUUCAAGGGCAUAAAUUAUCCCAUUUUGUAUACAGGUAGAUAUAGUAGUCAAGCAUGUGUAUGCCAUUUGCAGCUUUUUUUUUGUUCUCCAUUUGCAGCUUUUAUCAUCAGCAUUAUCGAAGUACAGUGUCCAUGCUUCAUCUCUGACUUAGGUGUUAGACUUUCUUAACUCAGCUAUACAAGUACAGAUUAGUUGUUUGGCGUUAUUUCGACCUCGGCUAAAAGGAUGAUCAUAGGUGGUUUAUUAAACCGCCUCUUGUGCUAUGUUUCUUUUGAUGAUCGGUCAUAAAAAUGCAAAUGCAGUUUCUAUUAUUUGUUUUGAGAUUCUGAGGUGUCCUUUUCUGAUAUGCAUAACAUAUUUUCAUAGUUGUUCCAGCAUUAGAAAUCUGUUGAUAAUUACCAUCUAUGUGAGUCAUAGGCUUUCUAGAUUUAUAGCAAUUGAUAGUUUUAACAGGACAAACACUCGUAGGAGAAUCUAAUUAGACCCGCCAACUUUUUAAGCUGCAAAUAUCAUUCAGUAUUAAAUGGUUAUUUUUUAAGUCUAAUAUCAUUUUUAAACAUUGUUCUAGGUUAAGUUUGUUUGACAAUCUACUCUGUAGUUGAACAUACUACUACUGCAUGCAAUACUUACGUGGAGAACAUUUACCUGAUUAGUGCUUUUAUGGUCCUCAAACAUGCUUCUUCUCCAACUUUUCCAGGGUUCAGUCUGUUUGUACCACAAACCACUGGAGGUCUUGUUCACCGGGGAUCAUCUCGCAAGUUCAGAACAAUCUCUUCUUGAGAUUGGUGAGUUUUAUAACAGGCAAUCAGUGAGCUUGCAAUCGAGGAGUGUCAGGAAACUACUAGACAUUGGUUUUGUGUGGAUCUUACCUGGUGGGUAUUCUGUGUACUUCUUUCUGUACUGUUUGGAGACAAAAAGAACUAUUAUCAUUCCAAAGUAAGUCUGAUAUUAAGAUGAGAACAACCAUAAUCUUCAUACGAAUAGGCUUCAGCAAAUGAUGUUUCCAUGGAGCUUGCUGUGACAUUCCCUUGGAACUCUCCUUUGUGCUUUGCUGCUUGUUUUUACAUUUAAUCCAUACUCAUUUAAUAGCUAAUAUCAUUAUACAGGUCACGGUCGGAGGAUUGCAUUUAGAGAUAACCAAGAGAAAAUUUCAGCUCUAGAAGCUUUCUUGGCUAACAAAGAGCCGCCGUUUGCACAACAUUAGAAGACAUGUCAUGGUUGCAUGAGGGGGCAUCUGAACUGCAUCAGGUUUUGAAUUCGAUGCUCCGUCACUGAAGAUAGGCCAAAAAGUUUUGAGUUUGUGUGCCCCAUGCGUCAUAAAACUUUGCAUCAUUUCAACUGAAUGAUAGAAACUGUUCUAUGGAUUCAAAGUCAUUAGAAGUCAUGAAAUCAGGAGUUACUAAUCACUCUGUGCACUGUAUAUAUUCAUAUAAAAUUAUCGAAGGAUGUGAAAAAUUAUCUACUUUUA